CGGGUCUAAUACUGGAUACGACCUUCUGGCGCAUGCCAUGUUGGUGGAAAGCUUUUGUGGUUUUGGAUGGACUCGCGGCCUAUCAGCUUGUUGGUGGGGUAAUGGCCUACCAAGGCGACGACGGGUAGCCGGCCUGAGAGGGUGACCGGCCACACUGGGACUGAGACACGGCCCAGACUCCUACGGGAGGCAGCAGUGGGGAAUAUUGCACAAUGGGCGCAAGCCUGAUGCAGCGACGCCGCGUGAGGGAUGAAGGCCUUCGGGUUGUAAACCUCUUUCAGUAGGGAAGAAGCCGGCUUUUGGGUUGGUGACGGUACCUGCAGAAGAAGCGCCGGCUAACUACGUGCCAGCAGCCGCGGUAAUACGUAGGGCGCAAGCGUUAUCCGGAAUUAUUGGGCGUAAAGAGCUCGUAGGCGGUUUGUCGCGUCUGCCGUGAAAGUCCGGGGCUUAACCCCGGAUCUGCGGUGGGUACGGGCAGACUAGAGUGCAGUAGGGGAGACUGGAAUUCCUGGUGUAGCGGUGAAAUGCGCAGAUAUCAGGAGGAACACCGAUGGC
rnacentral:rRNA from 1 species